rnacentral:rRNA from 1 species
UACGUAGGUGACCAGCGUUGUCCGGAUUUACUGGGCGUAAAGAGCGCGCAGGCGGUCGUUCAAGUCGAGUGUGAAAGCCCCCGGCUCAACUGGGGAGGGUCACUCGAUACUGAUCGACUUGAAGGCAGGGGAGGGAAGCGGAAUUCCCGGUGUAGUGGUGAAAUGCGUAGAUAUCGGGAGGAACACCAGUGGCGAAGGCGGGCUUCCUGGCCUGUUCCUUGACGCUGAGGCGCGAAAGCUAGGGGAGCAAACGGG